rnacentral:rRNA from 1 species
CGGGCAGACUAGAGUGCGGUAGGGGAGAUUGGAAUUCCUGGUGUAGCGGUGGAAUGCGCAGAUAUCAGGAGGAACACCGAUGGCGAAGGCAGAUCUCUGGGCCGUAACUGACGCUGAGGAGCGAAAGCGUGGGGAGCGAACAGGAUUAGAUACCCUGGUAGUCCACGCCGUAAACGUUGGGCGCUAGAUGUAGGGACCUUUCCACGGUUUCUGUGUCGUAGCUAACGCAUUAAGCGCCCCGCCUGGGGAGUACGGCCGCAAGGCUAAAACUCAAAGGAAUUGACGGGGGCCCGCACAAGCGGCGGAGCAUGCGGAUUAAUUCGAUGCAACGCGAAGAACCUUACCAAGGCUUGACAUACACCGGAAACGGCCAGAGAUGGUUGCCCCCUUGUGGUCGGUGUACAGGUGGUGCAUGGUUGUCGUCAGCUCGUGUCGUGAGAUGUUGGGUUAAGUCCCGCAACGAGCGCAACCCUCGUUCUAUGUUGCCAGCGCGUUAUGGCGGGGACUCAUAGGAGACUGCCGGGGUCAACUCGGAGGAAGGUGGGGAUGACGUCAAAUCAUCAUGCCCCUUAUGUCUUGGGCUUCACGCAUGCUACAAUGGCCGGUACAAA